rnacentral:rRNA from 1 species
CCUACGGGGGGCUGCAGUAAGGAAUAUUGGUCAAUGGACGCAAGUCUGAACCAGCCAUGCCGCGUGGAGGAUGAAGGUCCUCUGGAUUGUAAACUUCUUUUAUUUGGGAAGAAACUCCCGAUUUCCAUCGGGAUUGACGGUACCAGAUGAAUAAGCACCGGCUAACUCCGUGCCAGCAGCCGCGGUACUACGGCGGGUGCAAGCGUUACUCGGUUUCACUGGGUUGAAGGUGGGCAGGGGUGUCAGUGGUGAAAUCUCCGGGCUUAACCCGGAAACUGCCAUUGAUACUAUUUGUCUUGAAUACUCUGGAGGUGAGCGGAAUAUGUCAUGUAGCGGUGAAAUGCUUAGAUAUGACAUAGAACACCCAUUGCGAAGGCAGCUCACUACGGAAAUAUUGACGCUGAGGCACGAAAGCGUGGGGAUCAAACAGGAUUAGAUACCCGAGUAGUC